UGUGACAGCUCAGUUGUUGUCUGUUGUUGCUAGUGUGAAGUGCUCCCGGCUUUCGCCAAAAACGUGACAUCACGAUAAUAUCAGCGUUUUUGUGUGAAAAAUGGGGUCGAGGACCAAAUUGAUGUUAGAGUUAGCAAGAAAAAAAAAAGAUGAUGAUGGUUGCGAUGUUGUUUCAAAUGAUACUCGUAACAUGGAUUCUUCCGAUACUGAAGAGAAUGAAAUGAUCGAAAAUUCAGAGACAACUCAAAACUAUCGCCGCCGUUCUAAAUCUACAAGUUCAUCGUCCAGUAGUUCUUCCAGUAGCUCCUCGUCAUCAUCUUUUGUAGAAGGUCGGUAAAACUUAAAAGCUAAGUAA